rnacentral:snRNA from 1 species
AUACUUACCUGGCAGGGGAGACACCAUGAUCAAGAAGGUGGUUCACCCAGGGUGAGGCUCAGCCAUUGCACUCCGGUUGUGCUGAUCUCUGCGAAUUCUCCAACUGUGGGAAUCUCGAUUGCAUAAUUUAUGGUAGUGGGGGACUGCGUUCGCGCUCUCCCCUG